UAUCUGGUUGAUCCUGCCAGUAGUCAUAUGCUUGUCUCANAGAUUAAGCCAUGCAUGUCAAAGUAUAAGCACUUGUACUGUGAAACUGCGAAUGGCUCAUUAAAUCAGUUAUCGUUUAUUUGAUUGUACCUUUACUACUUGGAUAACCGUGGUAAUUCUAGAGCUAAUACAUGCGAAAAGUCCCGACUUCUGGAAGGGAUGUAUUUAUUAGAUUCAAAACCAAUGCGGGUUCUGCCCGGUCAUUUGGUGAUUCAUAGUAACUGUUUGAAUCGCAGGGCCUGGCGCCGGCGAUGUUUCAUUCAAAUUUCUGCCCUAUCAACUGUCGAUGGUAAGGUGUUGGCUUACCAUGGUUACAACGGGUGACGGAGAAUUAGGGUUCGAUUCCGGAGAGGGAGCCUGAGAAACGGCUACCACAUCCAAGGAAGGCAGCAGGCGCGCAAAUUACCCAAUCCUGACU
rfam:Nematostella vectensis strain CH2 x CH6 NEMVEscaffold_15030_Cont58196, whole genome shotgun sequence.